GCUCACCAAGCCGAAGAUCAGUAGGGGCCUUGAGAGAGGUAACCUCGAGAAGGGUACUGAGGAACGGACCCUAGCCCUACGGGGUGCAGCAGGCGCGAAACCUUUACAAUGCACGAAAGUGUGAUAAGGGAAUCCAAAGUGCUAGUACCUUGUACUAGCUUUUUUCAAAGGUAAAAACUUUGAAGAAUAAGUGGUGGGCAAGACCGGUGCCAGCAGCCGCGGUAACACCGGCGCCACGAGUGGUAUCCGCAUUUACUUGGCCUAAAGCGUCCGUAGCCUGUCUAAUAAAUUUCUUGUGAAAUUGUUAAGCUUAACUUAACAACGUGCAGGAAAAACUGUUAGACUCGGAACCGGGAGGAGUCAGAAGUAUUUCUUGGGGAGCGGUAAAAUGCUAUAAUCCUUGAAAGACUACCUGUGGCGGAGGCGUCUGACUAGAACGGAUUCGACGGUGAGGGACGAAAGCCAGGGGAGCGAUCCGGAUUAGAUACCCGAGUAGUCCUGGCUGUAAACUCUGCGAGCUAGGUGUUGCGCAUUCUUCGUGAGUGCGCAGUAUCGUAGCGAAGGCGUUAAGCUCGCCGCCUGGGAAGUAUGGUCGCAAGACUGAAACUUAAAGGAAUUGGCGGGGGAGCACCACAAGGGGUGAAGCCUGCGGUUCAAUUGGACUCAACGCCGGGAAACUUACCAGGGGAGACAGCAGAAUGACAGUCAGGUUGACGACCUUACUCGACGAGCCGAGAGGAGGUGCAUGGCCGUCGCCAGUUCGUGCUGUGAGGUAUCCUGUUAAGUCAGGCAACGAACGAGAUCCGCGCCUUUAUUUGCCAUCAAGAAGUCACGACUUCGUUGGGAACACUAAAGGGACCGCCGUCGAUAAGACGGAGGAAGGAGCGGGCAAAGGCAGGUCAGUAUGCCCCGAAACCCCUGGGCUACACGCGGGCUGCAAUGGUGCGAACAAUGGGCUGUAACUCCGAAAGGAGAAACCAAUCCCGAAAUCGCAUCUCAGUGGGGAUUGUCGACUGUAACUCGUUGACAUGAA
rnacentral:rRNA from 1 species